GAGUGCGGACGGGUGAGUAAUGUCUGGGAAACUGCCUGAUGGAGGGGGAUAACUACUGGAAACGGUAGCUAAUACCGCAUAACGUCGCAAGACCAAAGAGGGGACCUUCGGGCCUCUGCCAUCAGGGUGCCCAGAUGGGAUUAGCUAGUAGGUGGGGUAACGGCUCACCUAGGCGACGAUCCCUAGCUGGUCUGAGAGGAUGACCAGCCACACUGGAACUGAGACACGGUCCAGACUCCUACGGGAGGCAGCAGUGGGGAAUAUUGCACAAUGGGCGCAAGCCUGAUGCAGCCAUGCCGCGUGUAUGAAGAAGGCCUUCGGGUUGUAAAGUACUUUCAGCGGGGAGGAAGGGAGUAAAGUUAAUACCUUUGCUCAUUGACGUUACCCGCAGAAGAAGCACCGGCUAACUCCGUGCCAGCAGCCGCGGUAAUACGGAGGGUGCAAGCGUUAAUCGGAAUUACUGGGCGUAAAGCGCACGC
rnacentral:rRNA from 1 species